UACGAAGGGGGCUAGCGUUGCUCGGAAUCACUGGGCGUAAAGGGUGCGUAGGCGGGUUUUUAAGUCCGAGGUGAAAUCCUGGAGCUCAACUCCAGAACUGCCUUUGAUACUGAGAAUCUUGAGUAUGGGAGAGGUGAGUGGAACUGCGAGUGUAGAGGUGAAAUUCGUAGAUAUUCGCAAGAACACCAGUGGCGAAGGCGGCUCACUGGCCCAUAACUGACGCUGAGGCACGAAAGCGUGGGGAGCAAACAGG
rnacentral:rRNA from 1 species